CAGCGAGCCCCUGCCUGCGCCAUGUAGGCUGUCUGGAAACGGGGAAGAUCCUCGUGGAGUGAGGAGGGCUUGCUUCAUGUUUUCCUUUAUUUUUAGAGGUUUGGUUGGUUUGGUUUUUUUUUUAAGCUGCAGAUGUUUUUCUCGCCCUUUUUUAAAUACCGUUUUUGGAAGAUGAAAUGCUUUUCACGUUACCUGCCUUACAUCUUCAGGCCUGCGAACACCAUCCUCUCCUCCAGCUGCCACACGGAAGCUGACAUUAUCU